CACGUAGGGCGCGAGCGUUGUCCGGAAUUAUUGGGCGUAAAGAGCUCGUAGGCGGCCUGUUGCGUCCGCUGUGAAAGCCCGGGGCUUAACCCCGGGUCUGCAGUGGAUACGGGCAGGCUAGAGGUAGGUAGGGGAGAAUGGAAUUCCUGGUGUAGCGGUGAAAUGCGUAGAUAUCAGGAGGAACACCUGUGGCGAAAGCGGCUCACUGGACCAUAACUGACGCUGAUGCACGAAAGCUAGGGGAGCAAACAGG
rnacentral:rRNA from 1 species